CUGCCUGGAACACAGACAAGUAAAUGUUCAAACCUGGCAGCUGAUCCUGGGAAGGAGAGCUGAUUAAAUCUUCCCUGUUGAGAGGCACCUCUUUGAUUCGUAUGUGACACCUACAUCCUUCACCUCAGGAGACAAAGGCACCUUUGGGCUGCAGUGACACGGGAGAGCUAGAAUCAGAUUUGUUAUCGACAUUGCAGCCUUCAAUUUCAGUAAGAGGCUAAAUGUGUCUAUUCCAGCCACAGG
rnacentral:lncRNA from 1 species